GGAGAAGUGGCCGAGAGGCUGAAGGCACACCCCUGCUAAGGGUGCAAGCUCGCAAAACGGGCUUCGGGGGUUCGAAUCCCCCCUUCUCCGCCA
rnacentral:tRNA from 4 species